ACGGGUGAGUAACACGUGAGCAAUCUGCCCUUCUCAUCGGAAUAACCAUUGGAAACGAUGGCUAAUGCCGAAUAUGACCUCGGAUCACAUGUUCUGAGGUGGAAAGCUCCGGCGGAGAAGGAUGAGCUCGCGGCCUAUCAGCUUGUUGGUGAGGUAAUGGCUCACCAAGGCAUUGACGGGUAGCCGGCCUGAGAGGGUGACCGGCCACACUGGGACUGAGACACGGCCCAGACUCCUACGGGAGGCAGCAGUGGGGAAUAUUGGACAAUGGGCGAAAGCCUGAUCCAGCAACGCCGCGUGAGGGAUGACGGCCUUCGGGUUGUAAACCUCUUUCAGCAGGGACGAAGCGAAAGUGACGGUACCUGCAGAAGAAGGACCGGCCAACUACGUGCCAGCAGCCGCGGUAAUACGUAGGGUCCGAGCGUUGUCCGGAAUUAUUGGGCGUAAAGGGCUCGUAGGCGGUUUGUCGCGUCGGGAGUGAAAACUCAGGGCUCAACCCUGAGCGUGCUUCCGAUACGGGCAGACUAGAGGUAUGCAGGGGAGAACGGAAUUCCUGGUGUAGCGGUGGAAUGCGCAGA
rnacentral:rRNA from 8 species